GGAGGGGUGGCAGAGCUGGUCGAAUGCGCCGGUCUUGAAAACCGGAGUGCCGCAAGGUACCGGGGGUUCGAAUCCCUCCCCCUCCG
rnacentral:tRNA from 1 species